AGAGUUUGAUUCUGGCUCAGGAUGAACGCUGGCGGCGUGCUUAACACAUGCAAGUCGAACGAAGCAGCUUUCUUGCUUGCAAGAGAGUUGACUUAGUGGCGGACGGGUGAGUAACGCGUGGGUAACCUGCCUCAUACAGGGGGAUAACAGUUGGAAACGACUGCUAAGACCGCAUAACCCGCUAGUGUCGCAUGACACGGACGGAAAAUAUUUAUAGGUAUGAGAUGGGCCCGCGUCUGAUUAGCUAGUUGGUAAGGUAACGGCUUACCAAGGCGACGAUCAGUAGCCGACUUGAGAGAGUGAUCGGCCACAUUGGGACUGAGACACGGCCCAAACUCCUACGGGAGGCAGCAGUGGGGAAUAUUGGACAAUGGGGGAAACCCUGAUCCAGCCGACGCCGCGUGAGUGAAGAAGUAUUUCGGUAUGUAAAGCUCUAUCAGCAGGGAAGAUAAUGACAGUACCUGACUAAGAAGCCCCGGCUAACUACGUGCCAGCCGCCGC
rnacentral:rRNA from 1 species